rnacentral:lncRNA from 1 species
GUUAACUACAACAAAAACAGCCUUUUGCAUAACCGAUUCCAAGAGAAAAGAGGUGAGAAAAUCGGGGAAAACAUGAAUAGGUACAUAAGCAUGCAUUAUAGCAUGAACUGGGGGCGACUGCCCUGAGCAUGUGAGCGGCUGCCUCUGCAUGCUGCAGCCUGGCCGCCCACAAGCUCUGGAAGGUUGGCCUCUCCAUCGUCCAUUAUCCCAAACCUCUCUUGAAUAAUUUCAUGACUCGUGCAAACUCUUUUAAGCAUCUAAUAAUGUCAAAAAUCGACAUUAUUUUACAAAUGUUUUAACAAGUGGUACAUAUAUGAACCAAAUACAAUUCAAGAAAACUCGUUUGGAAUAGAAAUUUCUGACCAUAAUAUUGUGUACCCCACUUGUAGGGUAAACAACAGAAAGUUGAGCAUUUUUUCUUCUCAUUGGAGUUAUUUCACAAAGCGAAAAAUUGAUCACAUUGGAACAUUUAAGUCCCCAAUUUAAUUAACGAUUCUUCUAUAUUGUACAGAUAGUUUGACAAAUGCAUCCAUUGAUUUGAAUUACAUCUAUAUCCAUUGAUUUGAAUUUGAAUUUCUGAAAUUCAAAUCAAUGGACAUAUGCACGCCACAAAUCAAUGUAUGAGUAGGUUAAUUCUUCAAUUAACUUGAUAGUAACCACCUGUGUUGAAAACAAGAUUUAAAUAAAUAUAUAAGUCUUAUCUAACAGUUUAAGCUUUUAGGUCUAGUUGUCCAAUACCUUCUGAUUGGAUAAUUCGAUGACGAGCACUUGUUCUAGUCAUAAGUGGUCCUACCUUUACCAACAACAUGGUUUUUGGACCACAGUGGGUAGCCUGCUGUCCUAAGCUUUAUAUUGGCAACUGGUAGAACCAACCUCGUUUCUUUGCAAAUCAGAGGUUGAAAUUAGCUGAUUUCUGCGAAGCAUUUUUUGGAUUUUCUUGUAGAACACAAAAGAUAAUAGUGGUUGAGUUUUUAAG